GCGGGGGCGGAGUCUGGGCAUGGCCAAGCAGCCUGUGGACCUGGAGGACGAGGACAGGGUGGCCCCGGAGCCUCAGGGCCAGUGGCACUGAUGAUAAUCCGUCCCCAUCUCCAGCUGUGUGGACGCCACCACUUUCCUCUACUUCAGCUUCUUCGCACCGCUCAUCUACGUGGCCUUCCUCCGGGGCUUCUUUGGCUCGGAGCCCAAGAUCCUGUUCUCCUAUAAAUGCCAAGUGGACGAGACGGAGGAGCCGGACGUCCACCUGCCCCAGCCCUACGCCGUGGCCCGGCGGGAAGGCUUAGAGGCCGCGGGCGCUGCUGGGGCCUCGACUGCCUCCUAUUCCAGCACACAGUUCGAUUCCGCGGGCGUAGCCUACCUGGACGACGUGGCGUCCAUGCCCUGCCACGCGGGCAGCAUCAACAGCACCGACAGCGAUCGGUGGAAGGCCAUCAACGCCUGAGAGCCGCCUCCCUGGACCUGCGGGGACAGACGGGACCGGGGGCCGAGGCCCGACUCCCAGGUGGAGCAGAUGAAGGGUUGGGGGCGAGGCCUGCACCUCCUGCCCUCCAGCCCCCAGUUCCCUUGGUGGCCAGUGCUCCAGCUGGGGACCCCUCGUCCUUUUUCCAUCCCCUCGCCCGGCUCAGCAGGCCAGACUGGUCUCCCAGGGACAGAACCUCAUUGCACAGGAUGGCUGCUGCCCACCUCCCCUCACUGCCCCACUCCGCAGCCACUGGUCUCCUCCGAGUGCACAGCGUGGGGGACCAGCGGUGGCGUGUAUAUUUUCUUGAUUUAUUUUUUAAUAAAAAGGAAAAGAGUAGAAA